GGAGACUUACUGGGCCUAAUCAAUCCUUUGUCUAAGAAAUCUUUUAUUUCUUUUUUACAAUAGUCUAAAUUUUGCUUAUUCAUUUGUAUUGGUCUGGCUUUAGUGGGGAUAUUUGCUUCCUUAAAGUCAGGUUCAUAGGGUAAUGAGAUAGUAUGCACUUUUCUUUUCCAGAAAGCAUUAGGUUGUUCUGAGCAAAGAUCUUUAAUGAAUUUAUUUUGUAUACCUUUAAUUUUUUCUUGAAUACUUGGAGAUUGCAGUUGAUCUUCUAU
rnacentral:lncRNA from 1 species